ACGCCUUCCCCGGGGGGCCGCGCCGAAGCGGCUGAGAGGCGGCUGAGGCCGCGACCCGCUGAACCUGAUCCGGUUGAGACCGGCGGAGGGAGGGAGCGUCCACGCCCU
rnacentral:ncRNA from 2 species